CUUAACACAUGCAAGUCGAGGGGCAUCAGUUUGGUUUGCUUGCAAACCAAAGCUGGCGACCGGCGCACGGGUGAGUAACACGUAUCCAACCUGCCUCAUACUCGGGGAUAGCCUUUCGAAAGAAAGAUUAAUAUCCGAUAGCAUAUAUUUCCCGCAUGGGUUUUAUAUUAAAGAAAUUCGGUAUGAGAUGGGGAUGCGUUCCAUUAGUUUGUUGGCGGGGUAACGGCCCACCAAGACUACGAUGGAUAGGGGUUCUGAGAGGAAGGUCCCCCACAUUGGAACUGAGACACGGUCCAAACUCCUACGGGAGGCAGCAGUGAGGAAUAUUGGUCAAUGGACGCGAGUCUGAACCAGCCAAGUAGCGUGAAGGAUGACUGCCCUAUGGGUUGUAAACUUCUUUUAUAUGGGAAUAAAGUGGUCCACGUGUGGAUUUUUGUAUGUACCAUAUGAAUAAGGAUCGGCUAACUCCGUGCCAGCAGCCGCGGUAAUACGGAGGAUCCGAGCGUUAUCCGGAUUUAUUGGGUUUAAAGGGAGCGUAGGCGGAUUGUUAAGUCAGUUGUGAAAGUUUGCGGCUCAACCGUAAAAUUGCAGUUGAUACUGGCAGUCUUGAGUGCAGUAGAGGUGGGCGGA
rnacentral:rRNA from 1 species